ACCACACCCAAGCUGGCUUUCACUCUCUUCCCUGUCCCCCUCUCCCUUUCCUCUCUUCCCUGCUGUGAGCAUCCAUAAGGUCAACAACUUUGAACUACCACAAGUUCCUGCUCUGAUUUUCUGCCUCACCACGGACCCAGAAGCAAUGGAGCCAGGUGACCCUGAGCUGAAGUCUCUUACACCAUGAGCCAAAAUAAAUCUUUCUCAGUUGAGUCCUCUCAGGUGCUUUGUCACAGAAACAGAAAACGAGUUCAUUUUUUAGAUUAAACUAGGGAUUAAACUGGGACUCAGAUGUAAGACAAACCCGGAAUCAACGAGUCACAUUUCCAGCCUUUAUUACUGUGGCUAUUACUCUGUUAUUUUUUUAAAGUGUUCCAACAACAAAAAAGAGGAAUAACCAGAAGACCUACCAGUUCUCUAAGAAAAUCCCACUUCUUGGCUCCCAUGUCAUAAAGCCCAACUCCACCAUCCAAGAAACAGC